UACGGAGGGUGCGAGCGUUGUUCGGAAUCACUGGGCGUAAAGGGCGUGUAGGCGGUCCGCUAAGUCUGAUGUGAAAGCCCGGGGCUCACCCCCCGGAAGUGCAUUGGAAACUGGCGGACUCGAGUCCGGCAGAGGAGGGUGGAAUUCCUGGUGUAGCGGUGAAAUGCGUAGAUAUCAGGAGGAACACCGGUGGCGAAGGCGGC
rnacentral:rRNA from 1 species